GACGAACCGUGCGAACGUUGUUCGGAUUCACUGGGCUUAAAGGGCGCGUAGGCGGCUUGCCAAGUCAGGGGUGAAAUCUUUCGGCUCAACCGGAAAAGUGCUUCUGAUACUGGCAGGCUGGAGGGAGGUAGGGGCAGAUGGAACUUCCGGUGGAGCGGUGAAAUGCGUAGAUAUCGGAAGGAACGCCGGUGGCGAAAGCGGCGUACUGGGUCUUUUCUGACGCUGAGGCACGAAAGCUAGGGUAGCGAACGGG
rnacentral:rRNA from 1 species